rnacentral:rRNA from 1 species
GAUGAACGCUAGCUACAGGCUUAACACAUGCAAGUCGAGGGGCAGCAUGACGGAAGCUUGCUUUCGUUGAUGGCGACCGGCGCACGGGUGAGUAACGCGUAUCCAACCUGCCCUUGUCCAUCGGAUAACCCGUCGAAAGGCGGACUAACACGAUAUGCAGUCCACAGCAGGCAUCUAACGUGGACGAAAUGUGAAGGAGAAGGAUGGGGAUGCGUCUGAUUAGCUUGUUGGCGGGGUAACGGCCCACCAAGGCGACGAUCAGUAGGGGGUUCUGAGAGGAAGGUCCCCCACAUUGGAACUGAGACACGGUCCAAAACUCCUACGGGAGGCAGCAGUGAGGAAUAUUGGUCAAUGGGCGAGAGCCUGAACCAGCCAAGUAGCUGCAGGAUGAACGGCCCCUAUGGGGUUGUAAAACUGCUUUUAUAAGGGAAUAAAGUGAGAGUCGUGACUCUUUUUGCAUGUACCUUAUGAAUAAGGACCGGCUAAUUCCGUGCCAGCA